AUGGAACCCCCGCAGGCAGAGAAAACUGAGGGUAUCAGAGGCCUCAAAGAUGCUGAGUGCCUCAGGGUUCAUGGAUGUUGGAUGAGUCAGUGCAUCUUGAGCUCCAGCUCUAGGACAGGAGCCCAGCUAGUGAUUCCAAGGUGUACCCAAGUCCCUGCUCAGGACAGAACACAGACCAGUCACCAUGGAGAGAGUGAGCUCUGUCCUCUUGGGCUCCUCUUGGCUUUCUUUGUUGCAAUUUUAAGAGGUGUCCAGUGUGAGGUGCACCUGGUGGAGUCUGGGGGAGGCUUGGUGAAGCCUGGAGGGUCUCUGAGACUCUCUUGCAUGGCUUCUGGAUUCACCUUCAGUAGCUAUGCAAUGCACUGGGUCCACCAGGCUCUAGGGAAGGGGCUGGAGUGGGUCUCAGAAAUUAGUGAUAAAGGUGGUAGCACAUACUACACCAACUCUGUGAAGGGCCGAUUCACCAUCCCCAGAGACAAUGGCAAGAACAUGCUCUACCUGCAAAUGAGCAACCUGAGAUCUGAGGACAUGGAUGUGUAUUACUGUGCAAAAGACACAGUGAGGGGAAGUCAGUGUGAGCCCAGACAUAAACCUCCCUGUGGGAGACAGGAGGGCUGAGC